GAAGAGGCGACCACGUUAGACUGAAAGGUGAGCUUUAGAUUUUAGUUCUUUGAAAAACGUAACUUUUGUUAUUUUAGCAUUAUUAAAUUUAAGUUCUUAAAUCCGAGAAGUGAAAUUUUUGAGCUUUUAUUAACCCCUGAAAGGCUUGGUUAGCUGCCUUCAGUUGUAUGUUAACGAGCACGUGCGUGGUCAUCAUCACAUGUUUGAAAAAGAGACCCAUGAUCAUGAUCAUCUCGUGGACACUGCCUGGAGACCGCAAACGGACCCUGACUUCUGAGCAACAGAGGACAGAAGCUCUCAUCUCCUGUCUGUGGUAAUCACUGGGUGCUCAUUCACCCCCCCCCCCCCCCCCCCUUGAUCACCUACAUGUUUUUGUGUUUCUCGUAAUGAAGCACAAAUGAUUUUGUACUGUUCACCACCCUCAAGAUCAAACAUCACAUCUGACUUGCAUGUCACUCCCCCACUGCAGUCCUACAGGUCAUCCACGCUGUCCUGUUCAGUUCUGGUUCUCAGUAUGAGGAACAUCUUGUGCUGUGAAUAUUUGUGACUGUUUCCCCUCUAAAGACUACUUCAAUAAACUGAUUAAUCCUACAA